rnacentral:rRNA from 1 species
UACGUAGGUGGCAAGCGUUGUCCGGAUUUACUGGGCGUAAAGAGCGCGCAGGCGGUCGUUCAAGUCGCGUGUGAAAGCCCCCGGCUCAACUGGGGAGGGUCACGCGAUACUGAUCGACUCGAAGGCAGGAGAGGGUAGUGGAAUUCCCGGUGUAGUGGUGAAAUGCGUAGAUAUCGGAAGGAACAUCAGUGGCGAAAGCGACUGCCUGGACCAAUACUGACGCUCAUGUGCGAAAGCGUGGGGAGCAAACAGG